AGCGCACACAGUUAAAGCCCGGUGCUGAGGCCAGUGUCUGGCCAAUGAGCUCCGAUGUCGGACGUGUGCUACAGUAAAGCAGGUUUUUCGCUAACACCACAAGAGGCCCUGGGCCCCGAGGAGUGGGGUUUGAUAGUGAAACUUGCUACAAUA
ensembl:snoRNA SNORA62 Small nucleolar RNA SNORA62/SNORA6 family